rnacentral:lncRNA from 1 species
UAAUUUUUGAUCUAGAGAAGCCACCUAAAAAUAUGCACGUUCAAGUCGUUUCCAAAUAAAGAUUUGGUGUUCAUGAUUCGCACUUUCAACUAAUCACCUUAACUCUAAUCAUAGACUAUAUUAUCUUCACUCACCAAUGUUACUUCUUUGUUUGAUUUCAUCUGAUCUGAAUAUGGGUAUCAAUCAUUUUUUGGUAACUCUAUAACAACAACACUCUUUUUUAUAAUUUUGGAUAAUAUGUAAAUUCACACAUCAUUGAUUCCUUUAUUAGUUCCAAUUGUUUUCAUCCUAAAUAUUAUGUCAAUUUCUAAUCUUAUAAACUGAUUAUAUGCUCUUUUAAUCAGCCCAUACAUAUUUUAUGAUGAAUCACAAUGUUCCGUCGUUUUAACAUCUCUUCUUUCGAAGAUUUUUUUUUAUCGAAUACGUUAUUGAACCCGUGCGAAGCACGGGUUUGUAACUAGUUAAAUUAAAAAAAAAAUCAAAUCGUAAUCUUCAUCUUCAUUUUAUCUUAUCAUUCCAAAUCCAAUCCAGAUUCAACAUAAAAAUCCAAAUAAUCAUUUUCUAAAUUAAAUAAACUACAAGAAAUAUGCUCAUUUGCCAAGGAUUUUGACAGGGACAUGAAACCCCUGGCAAAUUUCCCAAGGCCUAAGCCAAGGAAAAUCCCUAGCAAAAUGACAUUGCUAAGUCUGGGACCACUUACCAUUUGACAGGGGUGAGCCCCUCACAAAUGUACACCUGCCCCUGGGUUGAGUUGACCACGAAAUGAAAUUUCAAAUUGGCUGACAUGGUUCAACUUUUGCACGCUUUACACAAGGACUGCCCCUCGCAAAUGGUAAUACAACAGAGAAUCUCUGCUUUUGUCAGUUACUUGUCAAGUCAGCUUUUGCGAGGGUCUGCCCCUCGUUUUACUCGUGUCUUUUUUUCUGCCUAUAUAUAUCUGAUCUGUGUGCAUUCAUUAGUGUUUGGCACUUAGAAAAAAAUUCUACUCCUCCAUUUUCUCUAUACACUCUACUCUUCAACAUUAAUAUUUUUACUCCUCUAUCUUCUCUAACUUUGGUAAAACUCUCUUCACUUAUUAUAUUUUUGUGUUUUUAUUUUUUUACCACUUAUUAACAUAAAUAUUUUAAUGCAUCAAUGUUCAAGAGUUUUUGCCUCCUCACGUGGUUCCUUGCUAAGCUUGCUCUCUGGAUUUGUUCUUCUCAUCAAGCUUCAACAAGUUAGUAAUUUUUCUACUUUUAAAUAAUAUUGAUAUAGAUGAUAUUUUUGAAUUUAUUAGUAGCUAAUAUAUGAUGUUUGUUUUUAUGGAUAUAUAUGAUGUUAUAAAUUUUGCAAGAUCUGUUUAUAAUUUGUUUUAUAUUUUCAAUUUUUUUUAGAAGAAAUAGAAAAUAAUAUUGUUAAGGAAAAUAAUACUGUUUUUUUGAAAAGAGGAAAAUAAUAUUGUUAUGAUUUUUUUUUCCAAAUUGUUUUGUUAAUAAAACUUUGAAGGAAAAUAAUUUAUUAGAGAAAAUGUUAAUUAAAACUAGAGAAAAAAAUUGUAAAAUAAUAUUUUUAUUUUUAUUUAUUUUAAAGAAAAUUAUUUUGAAAACUGUAUGAUUAGAGAAAACUUUUUUCUUUUUAUUUUUUAAUUUAAAAUUUAAAUGAAUAAAUGUUAUAUAGAAUGAUAUUUUUUUUGAAGGAAUAUAGAAUGAUAUUUGUUGAUGAUAUAUGUUGGAUGUUAUUUAGAUGAUAUUUCAAAUUAUUUACGGAUAUAUGCAUGUUGUUGAAUAUUCAUAUUAUUAUGAAAUGUAUGAAUGUUUGUUUUUUUGCUGUGACAAAAUGGAAUAGAUGCAUGUUGUUGAAUAUGUGCUUUUUAGGUAGAUAAAAUAUUACACUAAUCAAAACAGUUUUUUUAAUAAUUAAUAACAUGUUUAUUUAUGUAGAAAACAGUUUAUUUACUAAUUAAAACAGUAUUUUUAGGUAGAAAACUGUUUACACACUAAUUAAAAUGAUUUUUGAACCAUUUAAUUGUAUUUGAAAAACAACUUUUAAAAAAACGAAUUUUUAAUUAAUUUAAAUUCAUUUUAUUAAUUAAAAUUAUUUUAAAAUUAUUUAAUUAAUUAAUAAAAAAAUUCAAAAUAUAUUUUAUUAAUUAAAAUGAUUUUUGAACCAUUUAAUUUUAUUUGAAAAACAACUUUUUAAAAAAAUUGAAUUUUAAAUUCAUUUUAUUAAUUAAAAUUAUUUUUAAAAUAUUUAAUUAAUAAAUUAAAAAUUCGGUUUUAAAAAGAAAACAUUUAAAAAAAAUAAUAUAUAGUUUGUCAGGGGUUAAAUCCCUCCGAAGUCCCUGGUUUUUUGCUGACCUUCCAUUAGUCAAUCAGUGCGUCAGUCAGAGCAGACUGCACAACAGAAAAAAGUGAGGAAAUAUGUGAGGGGUUAAGACAGGGACAAAGCCAGGCUAUAUACCAAGGACUGAGCCCCUCGUUUUUUUCCCAGGGGUGUAACCCCUGACAAAAUGUUUGCAACGAGCGCUUUUGCCAGCCCUUUCGCCCCUGGCAAAUUCCCUCACAAACGUCCCUUUUCAUAGGGAUUCUGUCCUUUUCUCAGGGAUUUUACCCCUGACAAAAGGUAAUAUUUCUUGUAGUGAAAUUAGAAAAGAAAUUGGAAAAUUAAAAAAAUCACAAAAUUUGAAAAAAAAAAUAGAGAAGGAAGUUAAUUACUAUCCGAGAAGGAUCUGUUGGAAUAUUUUAUUAUAUUCCAAUAUCAUUAUGUGGGCAAAUAUCGUAAUAAUAAUUAUAUUAGCUAUUUAUCAAUUGUGAGCCUUAAUUGAUUAGUGAUUAAAUUAGGUAAUAAGGCUAUUAGGUUUCUAAUUGGAUAAUUAAUUAAAUAUUUAAUUAGUUAAUAUGGACUCAAUGAGUGGAUGUCCGGAUGGCCCAUUAACGGAAUAAUGAGAAACCCUAAUGGCCAUCCAAUAUAAAAGAGGUUAUGGUCCCCAAUACACUAUACACGACAAAACUCUCUCUUCUCCCCAUCUGAAGAGAACUUGAGGCAUAAAGGUACUGGUUGAGGAAGAACCAAAUCAGCCGCCGCUAACCGUUGAUGAAGUUGAUGUUUGUUUCAGAUCACCUCCUCUCUCCUUAUCGUUGUUGUUGUUGAGAGGGCUGCCAUAAAAGCUUUAUCCAGGUAUUCCUAAUACUAAUUCUUGAUAUCCUUGAUAAAUCAAACAUGUCGUAGAUCCGUUCAUAUUUAUGUUCAAUGUUUUGUUUGCUUCCGCUAUUGAUUCAUAAUCGUUGAACAUGUUUUAUGAAAUCUGUUUUUAGUAAGACCUAAAUUUCCAACAGGAUCUCACCGAAGAAAGCCACACCCUUAUGCAUUCUAAUGGUUCAGCUUUCAAGCGGUAAUUGCUAAAUCCCUUUUUAUUCUAAUUUUUUCCUUUUCGUGUAGUUAAAAAUUGUUGUACUCUUAGAGUGUAUUUGGAUGGGAGAAUGUUUUGAGGGAAUGUAAUGUUUUAAGCGAAUUCAACUAUUUUGAGGUGAAUUCUAUUGUCUGAAUCCACUCAAAAAUAAUUGAAUUCCCUCAAAACUUUACAUUACCUCAAAAUAUUCCCCAAUCCAAACACACUCUUAGUGAUGAGUUUGAAGAACUUCAGAACAUGAUAAGGAUGAAGCUUGCAAGUGUAUGAAUUUUGUACUUGUGGUCUCUAUGACUUCUCCGCUCUGUUGAAUUCUGCACGCUUAUCACUGAAACAGUGUUCCAUUCAUGCAGGUAUACUAAUAGGCAAUUACAAGCGUCACGUGCAGUAGUAAUUAACUUCUCUGAUCAACAAAGAGAACAAAAAACAAAUAAUGACAACCAUAACUCAGAUCAUAGUUUUAAAACUCGGUUCGGUCAUCGACUCGGCAAGGGUACUGGGUCACUGGGUUAAUGGUCGAACCACUGAGUCACUGGUUGAACCGCAUGACUAAAUCAGAUUAAACCGAAUAACUCGGCUAGAUGACUCGGUUUUAAGAUUAAAUCUUUAUAGGUAAUUAACCCGAUUAAAUCGGAUUGAACCAAUGACUCGGCCACUUAAAAACAAAAAAAUUGACAUAUAAUAUGUAUAGCUAUAUUUUGAUGUGUAUAUGUUUUCGAGCGGAGAAAUGAUAAGAUAUUAGAUAUUACUAUUAUUGUAAUUUGUGUAAAUAAUAUAUCUAAUAAUGAAAUACUAACUAUAUAAGAAAAAUAUUAUCUACUUAAAUAUAUAUAAUAGAUUUCAUUUGAAAAUAAAAACAACUCAUUGUUGUGGUGGUAAAUUCCCACUUAUUCCUUUUGAUGUGUAUGGUUCGAUUCCCAUAAUCCCCAACAUUUUCAAAUUCUGAUUUUUUCUACAAAGUUUAAAAGUCAAAAGCAUUUAUGGUUUCUGGUAAUAAAUACUCCAUCCGUCCGUUUCAAAAUAUAAGCAAAAUUCACGCAAAGCAGGACUUAUUCUUUCUUAUCUAGUUACAACUGAUAGGGAAAGCUCUUGUGUGAUUCAUAAUAUGGACCACAUACGUCAUUUGUGAGUUUUGCUUAUAUUUUGAAACGGAGGUUGUAGCAUUAAACUGAAUCUUUCAACAAAAAAAAAAAAGCAUUAAAUUGAAAAAAAAGUCUGACCAUUUACAGUAUAAAACAACAUUAUGGAUCAUUAAUGGAUUUAAUUAAUAAAUAAUUAUGAUAAAAAACAAUUGAACCGGGUUGGCUCCGAAAACCGGCCGAGUUGCCGAUUUAAUCUGGUUUUUAACGAGUCUUACCGGUUUCUACCGGUUUAUUUACAUAACUGAUCCAAUGUAUGGCUCGAACCGGCAUAGGCACCGGGUCCAGGUCGGACCGGUUCGACCGGCCGAUCUGAGCUGGUUUUUAAAACUAUGACUCAGAUAGUUCAAUACCAAGUAUGCAAAAAGAAUCUGGAUUGGAUUUGGAAUGAUAAGAUGAAAUGAAGAUCAAGAUUUGAAUUUGAUUUUCUAUUUUUUUAUUUAAUUUUUCAUUUAUUUAAUUUAAAAAUGAUUUUAUGGUUUUUUUAAUUUUCUUAAUUUAAUAAUUACACACGUGGCGUGCCACGUAGGCAUUGACCGGUCAAAAUUGGCAAAAAGGAUCAAAGUUGCAAAGGGCCUAAAUCUUAAAGGGGUAAAAUUGUAGUUUUUGUACUUAGGGGACUAAAAUUGCAAGUUAAGAAAAAACACAGCCAAACAAAAAACUAAAACAUUCAUGUUUAGAAAAGAUUAAACCACACACCUUCAUAUGUUGAGGAAACAUCUCCGACUUUCUUCAUCAAACGCUAGGGUUGUGAAAAUGGAAUGGACUACCUGAGUCGUUAUGACUAUGGCUUCGAAUUUUAAUGGGCUAGCCUAAAAAAUCCUAUUUAAACAAUCCAAAAAUUGAAAAAAUAUAUUAAUUUUUUUUUUCUGGUAACAAUUGAACAUUUUUUUUAAAAAUAAUAAUGAUAUGAAAACGAAAAAAUAGCAUAAAUUGUGUUUCGGUACACACAAGACUUGUAAAUUUUGCACCUAUUCUCACUCAAUGACUCAAACAACAACAAGGGAAUAUCCAAUAUCCUAUAAAAUAAAGAAUAUCUUAUUUCUUUAGAGUCCGUUUGAAGCAUAUGAUAUGAUAAAAAUAUGACUAAUAAAAAGUGAAAUAUAGAUAGGAUAAAAUAGUGGUAGAAUAAACAAUUAUUCUAUCAUAUUUUUUGUGCGUAGAUGGUAAGAAAUAUAAUAGUGUUACUUUAUCCAAAUUAUAAGAUAUAUAUGAUAUUCUUUAAAAAAAAGAUAUAUAUGAUAUGAUUACAUGAUAAAACUAGUUUCAAUUUUAAAACCAAUCAAAUCAGACAAAUUGUUCCAAGAUUAUUCUUUUUGAAUGACAUAUAUAGUUUUAAGAUUAUUUUGUGAAGGAAAAAAAUAUAUUAUACGAGUUACAUUCAAAAACCAUCGGCAAGUAAUUGAAUAUUUCACUUAAUUAAAUCAAACAGGGUUGUAUUGAUUUCGGACAUACUAGUUGAAAUUUAUUAUCGUAAACUUAGUUCAGUUGUUAAAGACAAUGCAUAAAAUAUUUAAAGUUGGGGUUCUACCCCGACCACCGCAAAAAAAUACUCGUUGAAACUUGAAAUUGAGAGACACCGAAGGAAAAUCCUUUUUUCAACUUGACGUUUUUUUUUUCUUUUCUUUUCUUCUUUCAACAAUGAAAUUGGGUGUCUUGUUUCAAUAUGACAUGUGUUUUUUUUCAACAAGUUGUUUAAUUUGUGGAGAUGUAGUGCGUGGUAUGAUGAAGAUGAAGCACGAGGCACACGAGAGAAGGAAUUUUGGCGAGGGGGGAGGAUAGAGAGAGGAGGAUGCACGUCACAUGAUAUCCUAUCAAGUUGCCAAUCCAAAAAAAAAACUAAGAAUUAUAAAAACAAUUGAUGAAUAAGAUAAAUUAGAAAUAUGUUUAAUUUAUAGUAUUUUUUAUUAGUGUAUUAUACGGUGGAUUGAAUCAGGAUAUGAUAAUUUCAUGAUAUAUUCUUAUUAUGUGGACGAAACGGAUACUUAAUAUAUCUACGCAAUUAUUGUGUCAUGUAUACAUGCCCUAUUUUAAAUAAAAGUAUAAGCAAAAAUAAUAGUUAAAAAGUUGAUAUAUCUUGAUUAAAUUCAGAACGACAUACAUUGGCUAUUCAACUAUAUUUUUUUAUUUUUUUUAUAAAAAAACUAUCAUUUUUGUUUCAUUUAAAAACAAUGAUUUUUAUUUAUAUUUCAUUCUAAAGAGAAUAUAUCAAAAUAAAUUAUUUAUGAUACAUUAUCUAAUUUUAGUUAAUUAGUAUCAAGAUAUUGGAGAUCGUGGAUCACCUCCUCUUCAGCUGCAACACCUUUGACAACGUAUGAUCUGCGGUUUUGCAGUGACUUCACUUAUCAUUCGUAGCUCCGGUUGGAAGUAAGAAUCAUUAUUUACAGUUCAGUCAGAAGGCGGAGUUUUCGCAUUCUUCAUAUACUUUCUUUUGGAUAAUCUGGUUGGCUUGUGUCUGGAUUAUCUGGAAGGAAAGGAAUGACAAAGUUUUUUAGCAGACAAGGUUAAAUUGUUGUCUUUCCAAUGGUUAAAGACAAAUAUGUUUCGUUUUAUUUUUAGCUAUAAUGAUCGGUGGCAACACCCUUGUCUUGUAUGAGUAUCAGGCCGUAACUUUUUGGUUUUUUUCUGUUUCCUUUCUUCGGUGUGGUUAUUAUUGCACAAGUUAUUGUUUGUACUCUUUUUUAGUGAAUUUCUUUUGCACGCCUUGUGCGAGAUGAAUUAACAAUGAUAAUUUUAAUUCCAUUUUGUCUUUGUUAAAAAAAAUUAAUAUUUUCAUAUGAUUAGUGUAAUAUUACGUGCCUCGUGUGAAUUAACAUGUUUUUUUACUAGUUGCAUUUAUGACAUUAAAUAGGGUGAAGACACUCUUAAGAGCUGUGGGUCCCUUCAUUUUUGUUGACAAAAAUCAUAUACUCGCUUGACGUUGCAAUUUCAGCCAACGAGGCUGGCUGUCUCUCAUGGCUCAUGUGAUGUCACGUUCCAUCCCGCAAUCGUUUAAUAAAAACUUGAUUCAAAUAAAAAAAACCAGAUAUUGUUGCUUAUAAUUAAAAAAAGCUGACAUUUCAAAAUUAAUUUUUGCUUAUAAUUAACAGCAUUUUAUUGUUGGCAUACUAACACAUAUAAAAUAUUUAUUAUAAUAAAUGUAAUAUAAAAUUAUUAGUUUCCCAUCAUUUUUUUAUUAGUUUUCUUAACCCAUCUUUAUAAAUGUUAAGCUUAUUAUUUCCUUAUCUUAUGUUUUUUACGCUUUCUACAAAUCUCUGCAAGCGAGAUUUAUUUAUUUUGGUGUUAACUUUCUUGUUUGAAGGUAAGUAAAGCAAAUUGUUUUAACUAAAAACUGAACUCAAUUGCUCCGUUUAUAUGCGGAGCUUGUUAACUAUUCGACCCAAUCAAGACAAUAUUUUCCUUAGCUAUAUGUACAAAUAUGAUGAAUACAUGUAUUUUUACAAAAAAAUAAAUAAUAUAAUUGACAAUUUAAAAGAAGUUUUAUAAAAAUGAAACUGAUAAAUACAAAAAAAAAAUAGUUUUAUAAAAAAAAUGUUUCAGAUGCUUGGGUGUGGCUUUUAGACCAUGUGGGAGGUUACUCUGUUCGAGGUGCUUAUGAUCUCUUAACUUCUGCCGACACCAAUCAUAUGGAUAGCGCUUUGGAUCUUGUUUGGCAUCACCAGGUUCCGCUGAAGGUUUCGAUCUUUGCGUGGAGGCUUGUGCGGAACCACUUACAUACGAAAGCAAAUCUGACAGCUAGAGGCGUCCUUCAGACAGAGGCGACCCUUUGUGUAGCAGGUUGUGAUCAGACAGAAACGUCAGAUCACUUGUUCACUUCAUGCUCUUUCUGUGUUUCCUUAUGGCAGCAUGUGCGACGCUGGAUAGGCUUUGUGGGGGCGGAUGCUAAUAAUGUUGCUGAUCAUCUGGUACAAUUUACUUAUAUAACAGGUGUUGGUAAAGCUAAGCGUUCGUUUCUACAAUUAAUCUGGCUCCUAUGUACUUGGGUUUUGUGGAACGAACGCAAUAACCACCUGUUCAAUAAUGUUAUAACGAAUGUCUACAGGUUGCUUGAUAAGAUUAAAUAUUUGUCUUUAGCAUGGCUUAUGGCUAAAAAAGCUAUGUUUGUUUGUGGUGCUCAGAGGUGGUGGUCAAACCCUUUGGCGUGUUUAGGCAUUGACUAACAACCUAGUUGUUUUUUCUUUGUUGCUACUAAGACUCUUUGUAUUGUUGUAGUGGGUUUCUAGGCACACCUUGUGCUUGGGAGCUACUACUUUUGUUGUAUAUAAUUUCAUUUUGGCUUGUUAAAAAAAAUAGUUUUAUAUUUAGAAAUAGAGGGAGUAAUAAUAAAGUACCUUAGAGCAUCCACAGUGGGAGAGUCUUAAACAUUUAAGACCUGAUACCUAAUAGGUACCCGUACCCCCGUUGUGGAAAAAAAAUUGAGGGUCUUAAAAGAUGCAAAGUAUAAAUUAAGACCUCAUUCUUAAAUGAAUCCACAUCACAUUUUUAUUAAAAUAAUAAUUAAAAGUGUAUUAAAAUAGAUAGUGUAUUAAAUAAAUAAUAUUGGUGGGACCCAAUUAGACAUUUUGUUAGAGGGUCUUCGUUGGAGUGGUUUAGUAUCCAUUAGACACUAUUAUUAAAAAUGAUUAAAAAGUGAUGUGUCAAUGUAGAACCUAUUUAAGACCUCAAAGAUGAGAGUCUCCAUUGUGAGACUGUUAUUAACUCAUGAAUUCUUACAUGACAGCAAAUAAUUUAUGUUUGACAAUUUUAUUUAUUUAUUUGAAAGAAUUUAUUUAUUUAUUGAUUUAUCAAGUUGAUGUUAAGUUGGGGGAUAAUUUUUAUUAGAAUCCAUUCAAGCUAACAUCAACUUAAUUUACACAUUAUUUUAUUAAUUAAUUAAUGCAUUAGCAUUUUAAUAUAAAUUUCUUAAAAUAAUAAUGAUUAAGAGUCAUUUUUUUUUUUGCAAUUACAAAUAUUUUCUUAAAAUUAUAUAAAAAUGGUGGAAGUUAUUGCAGCUUUUUUCAGCCAUUAAUUUGAACAACCACUACUACUACAUCACCUUGACCUUGAUACUUGAAUUGGGUUGUGAGGUUAUAGUUGGAAAUUUAAAAAGGUUUGAACUUUCAGUUCACCGAACGUUCUUUGUGUUUCAAUGACUGUUGGGUAGUUGUGGAUCACUAAAUUCAUUGUCUUGUUACUGUUUUCAGAAUCAGAUUCCAAGGAACUUGUGUUUUGUUCUUUCUGAGGUUGUUGGCAAAUUGAGCUGUCAGCUUUUUACUCCUUUUGUGUCUGAAAUUCUCAACUUUUUUAUAUUCGCUGAAUUUUUUCUGCUUGCAAAUGAUUCUGCUGCUGAGAGUUGAAAAUAGUGAUUAUUGCGAUGGGUUGUAAUGGGAUUGAACAUUUGUGCACAGAAGUAGUAGAAGAUGAAAAGGGUCUAAGAAAAAUGGAUGAUGAUAAGUUGGUUAGUGUGAGAGGUGAAAUUAUGUCUCAAGAAGAUGACGGUUCACCUUCAUCUAAGGAAAGGGGAAGCCAAUCAUCCGAAGUUACUUCUUUGCCACACAGAGGUUUGUGCUCAUUUGCUCUAUCUAAAUCAGAUUUGUUUAGUGUCCAACACAUGUUAGUGUUUGUGUCAUAUCCUGUGUUUGUGUCGUUGUUUCAUAGGUGAAAUAUGCUUUUCUGUUUUGCAUGUAUAUAAUGAAGAACUAAAACCUUAUUGUACAUAAUAGCAUAAUUCAUACUAUUAAGUAGUCAAUAUUAAGUUUUUUUUUUGUUGUUGAAAGAAGUAGUCAAUAUUAAGUGUGAAGCACUUUAUAGCUCUAUCGAAUCUUGUGGAUUUAUUUAUCUUAUCCUCUGAAUUUAUGAAGGAAGAAAUGAAGAAUCGUAUGUAUAACUGCAUAGCUGAUAGAUAUGUCAUAAGUAUAUAGGAUCAAUGUAAAGAUUUAGGGGGAAACAAUCUGUGCUUUAUUUUUUGUUUUUGAAAACUCGGUAUCCAGCAAAAAGACCGACUAGUCUGAGAGGUCCAAUCACACUGUCCAUUUGCGGGGCCCAUUCAAAGCCAAGAUUUAGCCUACUGAAAUUGGCACCGGGGGAAUCAAACCUGAGACCUUGAGAGCAGCACACUCCAAGGUCCCAAGCCAGCACCAUUAGACCAAACCAAAUGGGUUACAAAUUGUGCUUUAUUGUAACUCUUCUUCAAAAGCCUUUAUGCUUUAUCGUUGCGUUUGGGUUUAAAUUACUUUCCUUCUGUGAAAUGCCUUUUCUUUUUCUUAAAGUAUAUUAUACUCUGGAUUGCUUUUUAGAUUCACAAGUAUAAACCUAAAAAGCCAAAUUUUAUUGAAGUUUUUGUCAACAUAAACAGAUUUGGUUCUUUGUAAAAAUAAUUAGGUGCAUGGGUGUUGGCAAAUAAUGGCUAUAGCGUAGUAGAAUUUGAACAAACCGUUAUUGUUUUGGGAUAUGUUAUUUAGUGCAAAGUGUUGUCAAAUAGUGACUAUUGCGGCAGUGUAGCCCUGUAAUGUAGUGGAAUUUGAAGAAACUACUAUUUUCCGCGAUCCGCAGUUGACAAUACCGGGGGUGCGUGCUUACAUCCUUUCUUGGUUGAAUGCUUUUGGUCUUGUUCCUGUGGACAAUAGUUUCUAACUUGCCUUUGUUAAGAGAUUGAUUUCUUAUAAUUGGUUUCUUAAAUUCUGUUCAUAAAGGUUUGGAACAUUGCAUCACAGCUCCUAUUGGAACCGAGAGAAACCCACUAAUAGCCGAAGAUGAGAUUAUGAUUUCUAGAUCAAUGACAGAAAAGAGAGGGCUUCGAAGGCAUGACCUACUAUUGGACAGACUGUCAGAGGAUGAGAAGGUAUAUGCAAGUUUCACUGUAUGUGGAUGGCCUAAAAUUUCAAGGUUGUGCUUGUGUAUAUUUGAAAAAUGUAGUUACAGCGUGUUUUUGUAGUUUUGUUAUUGAAAUUUUGUUCUGUAUUGUGAUCUAUGCAUUCUAAUUAUUUGAUCUGUUUGCAUGUUCAUAACACUUAAUUGUUUUGCUUACCAGCAAAAACUGAUUGCUAACCUAGUGAAGAUACAAAAAGAUGGGACUGUUCAAGUUGAUAUAGAAACGAGUGCUUCAGUUGCUUCAGAGUUGUUAGAGUUCCAAUCUUUUGAAGAGUCGGUAGCGAGUGGAAAUUUUAUUAUUUCUGAUUCAAAUAAAUCAGUUCCACGGUUACAAAUUGUCAUACUUGUGGUUGGAACGAGAGGCGACGUACAACCUUUUGUGGCCAUUGCGAAGAGACUUCAGGCAUGUUUGAGUAUUGCAUCUUAAACUAAUUGUGAUUUUUUGCUUACUUUCAUGUGCAAGAUUUAUGUGAGUUUUGAGUUAAUACAUUUUGUUAUAUUCAAUGGAAAUAUUCAUUCUGUAUUGCUGAUCACUAAUUUGCCUUUUGUUCCUUGAAUUAACACGGGUUUCAGCUUCUUUCUACUGAUAUAGCUAUAAGACACCAAGCUUGUAAAUUAAACUGAAUGAAAUAGUCGGUUGUAUUCUGAUUUAAUACGAGGCUUCAAUGAGAACUUUGUAUUACUUUUCCCGGAUAUCACGUAACAUUAUGCAUACAUUUCAUUUUGUUUACUAAGUUUAGGAAAUGUUUUAUGCUGUUUGUGAUGUAUUGGCUUAUGUCAUGUUUGCAAUGGUAAUAAGAACUUGUGCUUCAAGACCUUAAUAGGGUUUCUAAAUUUUAGGGAAGACAUAUUAUGGUGUUCUGUAGUUUUAGAUAGCUUUAUUUUAGUAAGUUGGGGAUCCCUAGGCUUUUCCUUAUUGACCUGAUUGGUGAUUGCACUUUGCAGUCACAAGAUUUGAACCGAACUAUUUGAAGAGAUGCAAAAUAUUGAUUUUCAACUACUGUUUAUGAAUUUUACAUUUUGGCAGUCAAUUUUGUUGAAUUUCUACUUCCAUACUUUCAUACUUGAACUAAUACCAAUGUUUACUUGCAGGAGUAUGGUCAUCGCGUUAGGCUAGCAGCUCAUGCCAAUUUUAAGACAUUUGUAAGGUCAGCUGGUGUAAAUUUCUAUCCUCUGGGUGGUGAUCCUCGAGUAUUGGCAGGAUGUAAGAGGUUCCUUUUAAUAAUUUAUUUAUAUUUCGGCCUACUUGUACUUUGUUUAACUUGACUGUAGCCAGCCCUCUUUUAGCUGCUUUAUAUCGGUUCACCUGUUAAAUUUGGUGUUCAGGUUAGAAAAUAAGCUAGAAUGCAGUGAUAUACCAUGGUGUUUAAUAUUACCUAAUUUCUCUUGGAGUUUUCUAAAAAGGAUGACUAAAUGAUUUUAAAAUUACUUUUCAAGAUAUAUAUAAUAUCUUGUUUUUUAUACCUCAAGCUAUUACUAUAAAAUGAAUUGUCCAAAUUUUCAAGUGUUAAUCAUAGGCUCAACCGUAUAAAUAGAUACUUCAACAUAUCUUGCCAGCCUAGAAUUGCAUAUGGACUUGCGACAAAUUUGAAUUGGAUAUGAAAUAUGGAUGCAUAAUAUACUAAUUACCAAGCAAAAACAAUUAGCUCUUGGAGAAUUUGAAAUACAAUCAAAGGUUCUUAAAUAAUCAAUUGUAGUGUGGGGUGAAGAAACGAGAGAUAAUAGAAAUGAAUAAAACUCAAACCUAAACAUAAUGAUCCCUUAUAAAAACUUCCAAAUAACAAUAACAAAAGCUUAGGUGGAGUUGGUUAAAUGAGUCUAACGUUUUCAUAGUGUCUCAUGUGUUCAAUCAUCUAUCAUAGCAUUCUCAUCUCUUGAGCAUUUACAAAACAAGCGCAUGAUCCUUGCAUUGAAGAUUAAGCUAACUCAGUUUCUCCUAUUUUUGUUUUUAAGUAUGUCAAAACGAUAACAUAUUUUUGUUUGAAGUUUUAACCAUAUUCCAUUUUCUAUCCAACUCAUUAUAUAUGCUUAAACUGAUAGACUAAAUAGUUAUUUAACUAAUAGAUAUGGCAAGGAAUAAAGGUCUGAUCCCAUCUGGACCGACUGAAAUAUCUAUCCAAAGAAAGCAGCUGAAGGUCAUAAUCGAUUCUCUUCUUCCAGCCUGCACAGCACCUGAUUUGGAAACUGGUAUUCCCUUCACAGCUCAGGCUAUUAUUGCAAACCCUCCUGCAUAUGGUGAGUGAUUAGAAGAUUAUUGUACUAUGUAUUUGUAUUUCUCCAUCCCAUCUUACCUGAUCAAAUAAAAAUUUAUUAUUAUAUAUAUACAAAAAAUUACACGUGGGUGGAAGGCAAGCGAGCAACAAACUGCGCCGCUAAGCCUUUUUGGAUGGCAAUAGUUCUUUUAUAGUUGAUUUGUCUUUCAAGGAUUAAUUUCCAAUAGUUCUUUUAUUGCAACAUGAUAAUCAUAUUGUCAUGCUUUGCAAGUAUGACAUUUGAUGAUUCUCGUCAUAAAUUUUUCUUUUCAUUUGAGCAUUAUAGUUUUAUUUUUCUUUUGUGUAAUGUUUGCAAGUUUUCCUAGGCUCCUAGCACGUAAUUUUUAAUUAUAUAUAUAUUUUAUUUUUUUUUCUUGUUCAAUUUUUUUUUUUUAAUUAUAUUUUUGAUUCCGGCUUGCAGGGCAUGUACAUCUUGCUGAAGCCCUAGGGGUGCCUAUUCAUAUCUUCUUCACAAUGCCAUGGACGUGAGUUUAAUUUGUUAUAAUAAUUUAUUCACAUUUUUUUAUGUUAGCAAGAGAAAUUUUCAUAACAAGAUAUAAGUUGCUUUCAGAGUCUUGAAUAAUAUGCAUGCAGUACAACAAAAAUGUUUUAUUUAAAACUAGUAACAAUUGCAUGUUCAGAUAUUCAGAAUGCAACAUAUUUUUUACCAUCCCCUUUUUCAGUGCUUUUUAAAAAAAAUCAUUUUUUCUCUUACAUUUUUUAAAAAUAUGCAGGCCAACCUAUGCAUUUCCCCACCCUUUGGCGCGCGUUUCUCAAGGUGCUGGUUAUUGGGUAUGUCCCUUUACUGAAACAAUAUUUCGUAAUCUGAUUUUGAUAUUUUUAUGAAUAAUUUCUGGACUUCCUUAUUGGCAAACCUGUUUCAAUAUUUCCUUGCCAUUUGCAGCUGUCUUAUAUAAUUGUGGAUCUACUGAUAUGGUGGGGAAUGCGAGGAAUUAUUAAUGACUUCAGGAAAAGAACAUUGAAACUUGCUCCUAUUGCAUACUUCAGCAUGUAUCGUGGAUCAAUAUCUCAUUUACCAACUGCCUAUAUGUGGAGUCCUCAUCUUGUUCCGAAACCAAGUGGUAUGGACAAGGAUGCAAUUAUUAAUUGCAUAUUCUGAUACCCUAAUUAUACUUUUUUAAAUGAGUAAUCAUUUUAUCAUUCAAGUAUUUGAAACAGGAGAUAAAUUCAAUAAAUGUUGACUUGAAUGGUGAGAAUAUAAAGUUUUUGGCUGAAUCAAAUAACUAAUGAAUUUUAUUAAGAAAUAUUUUGUAAUUGAUAUGAUUCAAAUUAGAUUCCACUAAACUAUAUAGUGUAGUGUUACCUGUUUAAUCUUCAAAGUUAUUUCAUAUGUAUAUUUUAUGAAGCGCCGUAAGAUAUAAAAUCAAGCACAGGCUUGCAUUAAACAACUUAAGCUUAGAAGAAUUGGUCCUUAAGGAUAAUGACAUUUAACUAAUUUGCAGACUGGGGCUCUUUAGUUGAUGUUGUUGGUUACUGUUUCUUGAGGCAUGAGUCAAACUAUCAACCACGGGAGGAUUUUCUCCACUGGAUUAAAAAAGGACCACCUCCUUUAUAUUUUGGAUUUGGGAGCAUGGUAUUGUAAUUUUUCACACUUGUACUACUACGAGUCUUUGUUAUGAAUUUAUCUCCUAUUAAUGCCUUUUUUUUCUGUAAAUUUUUCUGUUUGGAUUCUGUAGAGUUCACCACCAUUAUAGGGUCAGUAUUUGUUACUUUCUUGAAGAAUCAACCCUAUAUUUAAGCUAGUGAAUCACGGUGGGAUUUCUCAUGCAAAGAGUUGGUUGUUACUUAUGCCUUCAGAGACAUGACAAAUACAAUACCUCUGUUGGCAUAGUGUAUUUUUUGCCCAUUACAUGUUUGGAUUGUAAUACAAGUUUAAUUUCACUUUUACAUCUAAAUGGCUUCUUAAUUAUUCAUCAGAUAACCUGCAAUCAAUCACCCCUUCUCUAGAACAAGAAAACAUACUUAGUUUGAAGCUCAGAUAAUAGUUCAAAUAAGAUAAUCUGCCUUGUACAUCUGUAUUAUUUAUCUAUAUCAAAGUUGUUAUUAUAAUACAAAUAGGCCCUGUUUGGGUUAACAACUUAAUUAAGCGCUUAUAGAAAAUGCGUUUAUCAUACAAGGACUCAUGUAUAAGCUAUUUUUAUAACAUGAUAAAAUAAUCUCAAACUGUUUUCAUAUAAGCUAUAAGCUAUUUUUAUAAGCUAUCCUGGAGAGCUUAUGAAAAUAAGCUGUAGUCAGCUUAUGGACAUGUCAUAAGCUAUUUUCAUAAGCUCUCCCAGACAGUCUCAAAAGUGUUUAUCCCAGUAGAUAAGCUUGAGUAAUCUGUUUCGGGUAUACUCAUAAGAUAGUGAGCAUGCAUUUGUUACCAUGAGGGGAUUAGAAAUAUUCUAAAAUGAUUUUUUUAAGUCAUCUUAAAGAAUUUGUGUUUUGCUUUGUCAGCCUCUUGAAGAUCCUAAAAUAACAACAGAUGUUAUAUUGAAAGCGCUAAAAGAGACAGAACAGCGGGGAAUUAUCGACCGAGGUUGGGGCAAUCUAGGGAAUUGUAAGUAUUUUAUUUUGAUUUUGUUUUGUACCCAUGUUUCACUUUUUUCAGAUGCUGUUGGGGAAGUUAUAUUUAAUUUUUUUGUUUCCUAUUUGUUAAUUAAAUAAAUGUCAAUGAUUGAAUGGAAUAUAUUUUCUAUUAUUAGGUUAAAUCUCAUGAUAUCAUUAUUGUUUUUGCCAUUAACUGAUAUUUAUCAUCGAGUUGAACUGAGUUGUUUGUGAACUUGAAAUGACUUGAUCUCGAGCUGAAAAAAAGGUUCAUGACGAACUCGAGUUGAAUUUCAAAUACUAAUUUUUAUCUAGUCGGACUGAUUCAAGUUUGAAUCGGCUUUACUCAUUUCCAGCCCUAAUUUUGACCAUAUUAAGUUUAAGAAUUGAUAAACUUAUUUCAUAAUUUGACUUAUGAAAUGCAUUGAGAUAAUUAUAUAUGUUGUUGUGUGCAUUUUAGGUGAUUGACGUUAGUUCAUUUGCACAUGUUUUUCAUUAUGCAGUGACAGAAGUUUCUGACAACGUUUUCCUUCUUGAGGAAUGCCCUCAUGAUUGGCUGUUUCCUCAAUGUUCUGCUGUGGUUAGUUUCAAUUUAUGCCUUCUUGUGGGAUUAUUUCGUAAAGAAGAAAGACAGAUUGGAGGGGUCACAGGGGUUCUGGUUCUCUUAUUCUUCCUUUCACUCAAACCUAGGCAUGAAUUUGCAGGUGCAUCAUGGUGGAGCGGGAACCACGGCUACGGGAUUAAAAUCUGGGGUAAUCAUUAUUUAAUAGCAUCUUCACUGAGAUAUUUUCUUAUCCAUAUAUACUAGGAUUUGUAUGAUUGUCUUAGGAUUUUAUUGACAUUUUUUUGGUUCUAUAAAAACAAAAAUGAAAAUCAGAACAGUGAGUUUAUUGAUUUCCCCCCUGAUUUGAAUACCUUAAUUUGCAGUGUCCAACAACAAUAGUCCCAUUUUUUGGAGAUCAAUUCUUUUGGGGAGAUAGAAUACAUCAGAAAGAGUUGGGACCUGCUCCAAUUCCAAUAUCCGAGCUCAAUGUUGAGAAUUUAUCAAAUGCUAUAAAAUUCAUGCUCCAGCCAGAGGUAAAUGUACAGUCAUCAGAGACCUUUAUCAUUGCAAACAGUUUCAUGGCUAGUCCAAUAAUAUUCACUCUUAGUGUAUUUCAGGUGAAAUCUCGGACAAUGGAAGUUGCUAAGUUGAUUGAGAGUGAAGAUGGCGUUGCUGCAGCAGUUGACGCGUUUCAUCGCCACCUGCCCGAUGAGCUACCGCUGCCAACUCCAUCUCAUGUGGAAGACGAGGACCACUUAAGUCCUCUUAAUUGGUUUUUUGACCAACUUGCAAAGUGGUGUUGUUUGCCUUGUGGUGGUGUGUAGAUUUUUUAAAUUCAUAUUAUUAUUUAUUCUUUUUACUGAUUUUAUUCAUUACUAAUUAGGUUUUGAUAGAAACUUUCUGUUAUUACAGAAUGGUAGCAUAAUGUUUUGGUUUGGUAUUUCAUUCAUGUAUAUUAGAUAAUAGAUAUUAGAUUUCACCCCUCCCCCUCAAACAUUUUGUAUAGGAGGUUAUGUCAAUUGUUGUAGAUUAAGAGUUGAGAGUUCUACUUACAUAAAGAACUCUGCUAGGUGUUUUUGUUUGAUAGUUGAUGAUGAUGUCAUGCAAUAAUUGUGUAGUCUGAGGUUCAAAUAAAAUUGCUUGUGUUUUUACUUACCCACCUGGUCUUAUCUCUCAUAUAUAUAUAUGAAGUUAACAUUAAUGAUUUUGUAUCUUGGAAUUAUAAGAGAAGUGAAUGGUUCAUUUAUAGAAGUGACAAAAAAAUACAUCCAUGCAAAUUAAGAAAGUGAUACAGCAAAUCAAACAGAAAAUCCUGACAACACUUGAUCAAUCAAACAUUUAAAAUGAAAAAAAUAAAUAAAUACUAUGUUAAAUGCAGCAAGUAAUACUUAAGUGCUUGAUUUGAAUAAAGGGAAAUGCUUGAUAUUACGAAUACCGAUCAAACGAAGCCUAACGAAUGAAUCUGGUCUGUGGAAUUCUAUUUUCCAACACUCCGGGGUUUUUAACAAAUGAAUCUGGUCCGUUGAAUUCUAUUUUCCAACACUCUAGGGUUUUUAUUUUUUCUCCUUUUUAAAGACAAAUUCCUACGAAGGAUGUAUCCACGAAAACAAGGAAUAAGAGCAACCUCUAGCAUGAUUUCUACCAAAUCUAAAAUCGUAUUAUUUCAAAACUCAGAUAUAACAUCUAAACUAUGCAGUUUAUUUCUUCUCAGGAUUUCGUGUUGUAAUGCUUCAUGGUAUUUAGCAAAACUCAAAUAUAACACCUAAACUAUGUAGUUUAUUGAAAUUAUUCUUUGUAAAACAAACAAAAAAUAUUUUUGGUGUAUAAUUUGUUUUUAUCUGUCAAAAAAGAAAGAUUUUGUAUUACACCAUAAAUAUUAUUUAUUACUUAUUUUUAAAAAUAGAAAGAAUGGCAUUAAUAUCGGACAUAUUAUGAGUAAAAUUAUUACUAAAAUGGAAAAGACUCCCGCAUGAAGGAAUGGUGACUAUAAAUAUCAAAGUGGGUCCCACAAAAAAAAAAAAAAAACACCAGAAUUCUCCUAAACUGCCGGCACCAUCCCGUCUUUACUUCAAUUCAACUCACUCACUCACUCUCUCAGAUUUUCCAAAUGCGGUUGCCGGAUAACGCCGGGCUAGGCGUCGCCGCCAUGUCCUACAUCGCCGUUGACUACCUUCGCCACCUCUCACCUACAUGGCACUCGCGGCUUCAACCAGCGCUGUGGACUCUCCUCGCCCUCGCUGCCGUUGUUCGUGUCCCCUCUUACCGCCACUGGUCCGCCGAGUUCCGGUCAGCUAUUCCGUUCAUCGCUUCUAUGCUCUUCAUGCUUGCUUGUCUCCUCUACGAAGCUCUUUCUGUUCGCUCCGUCACCGCUGUCCUUGGCCUCGACUGGCACCGGUAACUACUGUUCUUUCUAUUUCUGAAAUUUUUGUUGUAGAUCUAAUCUAUUAUUAUAUUCUAUAUGUUAGUAGUUGCAUUGAAUUCUUUUGAAAUAAAUUUCUGUAGUAGAUCUAAUCUAUUAUAUACAUGAUAUGAUAUGUAGCCUAGUUAAGAUGAAGGACAUAUAAAGAAGUUGAGAAUGCAUUGAAGAUGUACAUUAUUCGCUCUAGACUUCUUGAAUCAAUAGAGUUGUCUUUUGAUGAUCUACUUAUAAAUGAUGUCUUUUAUGGAUUAAUGGGAGAGAAGAGACUUAAUCCGUCAAUAUUAGACAAAACUUGUUUUGAGUUCUUUUAAUAUGUUUUAGUGGAUAACCUAAGAUAUGAAUGAAAAUAUAGUAUGCUUUUGUAAUGGUUCCUUAAAUCAAUGGUAGAAUCGAUAGAUGAGAACCCGAUUAGAGUUGGUGUUCUUGGCACAUCAAAGAGAAAGGGAAAUAUAAAAGGAGACUAAGUCUAAGACUUAAAGUCUUAAACCUUUACUUUACUAGAGAGUAUCAAAAGGGGAGAGGAGAAACAUCAUCGAUUUUCUUCAUACCCUUCCUUCCUCCCUUUAUAGAAGGUUAAGAGAAUAUUUUCUUGUUAGUUUUAUUUCCAUCAAGUGACACAUGUCCCAUGUGCUAUUUUGGAUCAUAACAAGUUUAUACGAAAACUCAACCCUUUGUGUUUUGAUCACUAAUACUCCCUCCGAAGUGUCUCUUUAGGGUUAUGAGCGGUCCUUAAGGAAAAAUAAUUAGUUGAGUUGAUUUCAAUGGUAAAAUUUGUAGUAUCAUUUACUAAAACAUCUUUAUUAAUUGUAAUUAGUGGAGCAAUUAAGUGGGAAAAAAAUAAUAAAUGUUGUAUUUAUAUUCUAAAGUGACAAUAAUUUUGAGACAGAGAAAAAGUGCUAAAGUGACAAUAAAAAUGAGACGGAGGGAGUAUUUUUUUUUUGCAAAUUGUGAUCUUAAUAUUAAUGAAAAUGAUCAAUGCAUGAACUUUUUAUUAACGAAUCCUAACCGAAUUGUAUUCUGAAUUUCAAAAAUUUUGUGCAUCAGUAUUGUAUCGCAUCUGCACCCAUACUACAUGUUUGGGCUUCAUAGGAAGUAAUUGAGAGUAACCAUACAUAUAGGCGUCAUAUCGGAGUCAAACAUUAAAUACACUUUCAAUCUGAAUUAAAUAUUUGAAAAACAUUAAAUACACAAUUUGUGCUACAUAGCCAGUAUUUGAAAUAUUUUCCUGGAACUAGGGUUGUUUUGUAUUGAUUUAAUAGACUGACAUAAACCUAACUUCAAUUUGCUGACUUGCAUUAUCUAUUUGAAAAGAAAAAAAAAAUUAUAUACUUAGUUUGUUCUUAUAGGAAUACAGCCCCUCUUCCAGACACUGGUCAGUGGUUUCUCCUGGCAUUAAAUGAGAAACUUCCUGCUCCAAUUGUUGAGAUAUUAAGAGCUCGUAUUAUUGGAUUGCAUCAUUUCUUGAUGUUGUUUAUGAUGCUGGCAUUUUCUGUGCUUUUUGGCUCUGUAAAAGCUCCUGGCCUUGGACUAGGUGCUAGAUACAUGUUUACGAUGGCCAUUGGCCGACUUCUUCGUGCCAUAACUUUUGCAUCAACAAUUCUUCCAUCGGCUCGCCCUUGGUGCGCUAGUUCUCGGUUCAGAGUUCCCGGAUAUCCUCAUCGAUGGGCUCAGAAAUAUUACGCGCCCUAUGCUUCGGAUCAUAAUGCUAUCAGCCAUUUGCUAAGGGUUGACCAAGCUUAUGGUAUGUGGACUUUAUUUCACUAUAUGCUAGUCAUUGCUCUUAUUAAGUUUUGUUUUCAAACAUUUUUACUGAUUUGCUCCAGAGUUUUAUAUCGUUGUCCAUAACAUUAUUAUCAACACAUUUGCUUGACUUGCAAUGUUCACUAAGAAUUUUUAUUUCUGUACAUUUCUUCUCCUGUAAAGAGUAACAUUCAUUUGAAGCUGAAAAAAAUUAGAUUUUGGACUCUGGAACUAUUUUCAAGCCAGAAAAGAUUUUUUGAUGAGAUUUUAUUUUACAAUACAAAUUUAGUUUUGGUUAUUUAAGUAUCAUUCGCAAAUACCAUGUUGAAAGUUUUUAAAAUCUGGAUGAUAAUUGAUAACUAUGUAUAUAAUCUAUAGUUUCCUUUACAUCUAUAUGAACCCUGUCCACUUUUGCAGAUAAUUUGCUUCUGUUAGGAAGUCCUUAAAAUUAACAUGCUCUUCUUUCUUAGCUGACAUCGGAGAAUCAAUUGGUGACUACCAGCCAGAAUGGGGUUCAAUGAGCUUUCUGAGUGAUUUUCUACGACCAACUGCUUCAGAAGGACCUUCAUGGUUUGGUCUGUUAAAAAAAGCUGGAGGUGGCUGCAAUGACCUGCUAUACAGUGGGCACAUGCUUGUUGCUGUACUCACAGCUAUGGCUUGGACAGUAAGAUUUGAAGUCCUCUGCAAGACUGCAUUAUCUUAUCUUCUUGAGGUUAUUUGCAUUUGAUAUAAAGUUGCUGCAUGAUUUGUGACUUCUAUUUGUUAAAAAUGGUUGCAGGAAGCGUAUGGAGGUUUCAGUUCAGCUCUUGUAUGGCUUCUUGUAUUGCAUAGUGCCCAAAGAGAAGUACGAGAACGCCAUCACUACUCUGUAGACUGCAUUGUAGCCAUCUAUGUGGGGAUCCUUCUGUGGAAGAUGACAGGUUUUAUCUGGUCACGAGAAGUUAGAUCUGGAAAUAGGAGUCUGAUUAAGUUUGAGAAGAUUAAAAGUAGACUCAUCCAAGCUUCAAAGGACUCAGAUAUUGAUAAAGUGAGAGAACUACUCAAAGAGAUUGACAUAAGCAGUGAAGAGAGCAGGAGUCAGACUACACUUAAGUAUGCACGGUUAUUUCGUUGUGCCACGAUCGUCUUUGCACUCACAAUCGUUGUUCUGGCUUUCACACUAACAACUGAUGGAUGAUCUUCUCAUGGACCUGAAAUAUUAUUGUGCCACGUGUUUUUUUUAGUGAAUUUGUUACACACAAUUUUGAACUUUUUGCAUAGUUGUGAAUUCUAGUAUUUUCGGCAGUAGUUUUUGAGCCCAUUUAGCUGCAAGGAUAAACAAAAAGCCCCCAAGGUGAGGAUUUCUAGUGUUUAGUACUGUCACUGUUGUUUCAUCUUGUAUCACUACCCAUGUAAGUUAUUAUAUAUCAAUGGAAAACUUAUCAUUGGUUUGGUACAUCGAAGAAACAUAAAAGAGAGAGAGAAAUAUUUGAGCAAGUAUAAGCUCUAAUGAUCGUAUUAUAGUUGUUCCUCUUGUGGUUUAUUUGUUGGUUGUAAGCUUGGACUCAUGGCGUUUGAUGUAAAACUUCGGAAGAGCUGGAUAAUUUAGAAAAAAAGUAGUCUUUAGAGUCAAAGGUGGAUAUGUAACUUACCUUGAUAUACUAUCACUCUAUCAGAUUGUUUUUUUUAUUUUUUUUUAUUUUUUUUAUACAUCACUCUAUCAGAUUUAAUUUGUACGCUUGUGGAAAAUCAUUUCUAUUUAAUUUGUACGUGCUUGUGGAAAAUCGUUUCUGUACAUGCAUAAUAUCAAAUUCGCUAUAUAUGUAAUUUUGGAGAUCAUGUAAGAGCUGAUACAACAAAUUGAGAUGAAGGUUAGAAUUUAUUCUGUAUGCAUGAAUAGUAUACAUACACUUCAUCCAAGCAUAUCACACCAAUUUAUUAAAUUAGUUGCUAAAAUGUCUCUACAAAUAUGAGUUUAAUGUAUGGAAAUGGAUAUAGGUUGAUUCAGCGGCGAAGCUAGCAAUAAUUCUAUGAGGUGGUCAUAUAUAAAUUUGAAGUUCGACCGGAAGUUAAAUAAAGAUAGUAAAAAUUAUUUCACUUAAAAUUAAAUUUGGGGUAGCCAAAUAAAUAUUAUUAGGGGUAGCUAAAUAUAAAAAUAUACCUACUCGUUCAAAAAAUUUUUUUUUUUUGGGGUAGCAAGGGCUACCCCUGCCUACUACUACCAUCCGCCCCUGGGUUGAAUAAAGAUGAUAUCCAUGCUCUAUUUAUAUCCGUGUAUAUAUUUAUUAAUCGGAUAAUUCACGUAUUUUGAAGUAUCUACGUAUAUAUACAAUAUAUAUAUAUAUAUAUAUAUAUAUAUAUAUAUAUAUAUAUAUAUAUAUAUAUACAUACAUCAUUUUAAAAAAUAUUCCUUAAAAAAAAAAUCAUUUUAAAAAAAUCAUUUUUUUGUUAAUUUUUUUAUAAUUACCUAAAAUUUAACAACAAAAGUAAUCAUAUUCAAUUUUUUUUUUGAAACGGCGCUAAUUUUUCUUCUUUUCACCAAAAUAUAAUAAUAUCCAUAUAUUACUAAAUUUUUUCAAAAAUAUAAUAUCCGAAAAAGUAAAAUAGAAAUAAAUAGUGUAUAAAGAUGUGAGGUUAUUUCUAUCAUUUGAGUUAAAAGCUGUGAAACUUUUUUUUUUUUUUAAUAAAAAUAUAGUUUAAGUGAAAAUUGGACCAAAGAGCUAAUUGCAAAUUUUUUAAACAACACAAACUUUGAUUCACUCAUCCAGCAAGGUCCAUGCCUCAAUUGGACAUCUAUAUAUUUAGAUCUGUCUUAAAAGAAAUGAUAUUUGUAUAAAUAAUUUUUAAACAACCUUUUACUCUUACACUAUAUUUUGUUUAUUUCAUAUCUAUUAUUUUUUACCAAUAAAAAAUAAAUAAAGUUGUGACAAAAAACAAAAUUGUACAAAUAUCAAUCUUCAAAACUAAAAUAAAGAUCCAUAAAAAAAUAAAAAAAAAAAUAAAAAAGACGUGCUGAAAAUGCGCAUAGAUUGAUUUAUUUUAAAUAUUAGAAAGGAGAGAGAAGGGAAAGGAGUGAAAGUGAGAGAGAGCAAAGGUAUCAGCAUCAGAAAAGUCCUUGGAAUAGUUAUUUAUUGAGUAAAUAGUCAAUUUUUCCUUUGAAAUUAUAAAUUUCGUCAAUUACUUUCCGAAAUUAACAAAACUUCAAUUACUCCCCUAAAAUUGUAUAACGUUAAUCAAUUUAUCUCUCCGUCAAAUACCCCACUAAAAUUUUGCACUUAUGUGCAAAAUGCUCUCUAAAUUUAAAAAUUUAGAUUUUUUUUCUUACAAAAAAUCAUACAUUUAGUUCUUCAAGUAGUAUAUUAUACCUAUUAUCAUAAAAAUUCUAUUCACAAGAAAAUGAAUGAAUAUAUGCCAAAGAAAUCAUGGUUUUGUCAUGUGGAGCCUUUUCAUUCGAGUAAAUAGUCAAUUACCCCCCUGAAAUUGUAAGUUUCGUCAAUUACCCCCCCUGGAAUUAACAAAACUUCAAUUACCCCCCUGAAAAUUACACAACGUUGAUCAAUUUACCCCCCAUGUCAAAUUUUUCUGUUAUUUAACAUGACGUUUUGCAAAUACUCCCUGAAGUUUUGUACUUAUGUGCAAAAUACCCCAUGAACUUGAAAAUUUAUAUUUUUUUUUUCUUAUCUUUAAAAGUGACUGCAUUAUCACUGAAUUGUGGAGCAUAUUAGCUAAGUUUUGACGGUAUACAACCAUAUAUGUUCUUUUAAACGAUCAAACAUUAACCAUGUAUUAGAGUCUAAUGAUAUGAAAGUCAACAUAGUAAAGUACAACCGCACUUGUUAGAUGGAAAACUAAUACAUGUCAUACAUAAUGAAGCACAUAAAUAAUACAUGAUUGGCAUAACCAAGAAUUACCAAGAUGUCAAAGUAUAUGGCUUUGCUAUUGCUAAUUUUAACCACACCAAAAAAUUUCACUUCCUUUAUAUUGUGAGCGGUGCACACCAUCAACACACUUCUCUCACUUUCAAGAAAAAAAUACAUAAACUUGUUACUUCUCUCACUUUAUAAAGGAUCUUGAAAGAAUCAUGGUCUUCUUCCCCCGUUACGAUUCAAAGGAAUGGUAAUAAUAUUAUAUUAUGUAUAUUUCAUUAUAUUUUUUUAAGAGAAUAAAAAAACAUGAUAGCCACCAUCCUUUUGAUCUCUAAUGGGGUUAAGGACAACUUGAAAAAGAAAAAAUAACAUCUGAUGUUGGAACAAAGAAAUACUUUUAUGUUUGUUUUGUAAAUAUUCUUGAAUUUUGAAUAUUAUUGUAGGAUUUACCAAAUACUGCCAAUUUGUUCUACAAUACUAUCAAUAUAUGGUUGUAUAUCGUCAAAACUUAGCUAAUAUGCUCCACAAUUCAGUGAUAAUGCAAUCACUUUUAAGGAGAAGAAAACAAAAUAUAAAUUUUCAAGUUUAGGGGGCAUUUUUCACAUAAGUGCAAAACUUUAUGGGGUAUUUGCAAAACGUUAUGUUGACUAACAGAAAUAUUUGACGUAGGGGGUAAAUUGAUUAACGUUGUGCAAUUUCAGGGGGGUAAUUAAAGUUUUGUUAAUUUCAGGGGGUAAUUGACGAAACUUACAAUUUCAGGGGGUAAUUGACUAUUUACUCCUUUUCAUUCAUAUUUCAUAUUUAUCAACAAACCUUGUUUCUUCUUCCUUCUGCAGGUAUUAACAUAUGGACACACAAUUAUCAAAGACUUAUGUACUUUAUGACUGCAUACUUUAACAUAAUUACCAACUUGUGUAAAAAAAAGUCUUAUAUAUAUGUAUAUAUUUAAAACACAUGAGAGUAACAUACCUUCUAUAACGAUUUAUAUGACCAAUAGUUGCAUAAACAUACAUUCCAUACAUAUUUAUAUGAUCAAUAAUUGUUAAUUUGUUUGCCUUUAAUAUCUUUUGAGUCAAGGAUAAAAAAAUAUAUAUAAAUUUUCAAGUUUAUGGAGCAUUUUGGACAUAAGUGCAAAAUUUCAGGGGGUAUUUGAUCAUAACCGUAAACAAUUAACAGAAAAAUUUGACGAAGGGGGUAAAUUGAUCAACGUUAUGCAAUUUCAAGGGAGUAAUUGAAGUUUUGUUAAUUUCAGGAGGUAAUUGAUGAAAUCUACAAUUUCAGGGAGGAAAUUGACUGUUUAUUUGUUGUUUAUUUAUUAAUUUCUCCGUCAAUUCCCAAACAAAUAAAUAUUACCACUUUUUUCCUGAUUAUCCAAUCCGUUCGCAUUUUGACUACCAUGGCCGCUUCCAUCUCAGCAGCGUCUUCCUCUGUAAUCCUUCAUUCUUUGAACUCUUCUUCCACACGUGUGGGACCUUCAUCAUCAUCAUCUUCACAGCUUCAAUUUCCUGUUCGCCUUCUUCCAAUUGGUACUCGCCGUCUUUCCUCUUCCUCCCGCUCUCGUUUCCUUCCUCUGGUAACUAUUUAUCUGCUUUCCUUUCUGUUAAUAACCAACUAUUCUUAUUUUAUACUUGUUGAUUUCAUUACAUAAAUUAUUGAACAUGAAUACCAUUUCUUUGCAUCUGAAAUUAUUUAAUUUGCUGAUACUACACUUUCCCUCGUAUUUGUGGCAUUAUGCUGAAUAUCACAAUAACAUGCUCAUUAUCAAGUCAAGUUUUCUGAAUCAUAUUACUCUUCCAACACUAUAGAUAUGAUAUGACCUCUGCAAGAGUUUAUUUCAUGGACUAUGCUUUUGUUUCGGUGUUUACCAUCCACCCUAAAUCUUUUUCUUUAGGGUCUGGUUGGUUCAACAGAGGGGCUGGGAUGGAUUUUUAAAUCUUUUGUGUUUGGUUUGACGAGUGGAGUGUAGAGAUUUUAAUGUACUUUUUACGCCAUUAACUAACAAUUGCGAUCCUUGAUACUGUGGAGAAUCAUGGUCAAAUGCGACUGCAAUUGCAAUCAUGUUAUGGUUUUGAGUUUUGACAACAUCAACAAAACAUUAUGUCGCGUCAAAAUUGUGGUCGCAGACCUUUAUUGAAUCCCUGCUUCUAUGUCAUAAAUUCUCAUGUGAUCGAAUAGACAUUCAAUUUAGCUGUUUAUCCAAUUUUUUCAUAUAUUUGGAUUGUGGCCCCCUUGAUUGCCAGAAUUUACGCUAAUUUUUUUGGAAUACAAAAGGGCCAAAAGGACAAACUACAAAUUUACUAAAUGCGGAGUCAGAACUCCAGCAGCGUCAACAUCGAAAUAUCGCCUGAUUUGAUCAGGGCAAUCAUCAUAAAUGGUCAACUUGUUUUCUGCACCAAUCCCCAUCAUGGCAAAGACCAUCCGCACAAAAUCUGCUUCAUGAUAAACAUGACUCAUUUUAAUUUCCCAGUCUAGCUGCCGAAUCGUGUCAACAGGCCAACAUCCCAUAACAGUACCACCGCCUCUACUCCUGAUACUCUAGAUAAUUGUUAAACUGAUAAACUACGGCUUUAAGGAUGCUGACACAUGUCCAUUCAUGCUUGCACUCAAACCUGUUGAACUUUUCUGCUUCUGAAAUAAUUAAUUGCGAACUGACCAGCAUUUUUGGAUACUGUGUUCUGCAGGUUCAAGCAAAGAAACAAACCUUUUCCUCUUUUGAUGAUUUGCUUGCAAACUCCGACAAACCUGUAUUUGUUGACUUCUAUGCAACCUGGUAACUUUCUCCCCGCGUGUUUUCCAUUGUCUUCUCCUCUCAUCAUGUUGGGUUUGAAGCAUUUUUGCUUUAACUGGUUAUAUUUCAUGUUUAAACUAUUUUAACUUGACUAUUUAUAAAUUAUAUAAUAUAAUUACAUCUAAUCAGUAUCCCAAUGCUGGUUUAUAGGUGCGGUCCUUGUCAAUUCAUGGUUCCUGUACUUGAGGAAGUGAGCGCUCGGCUUCAAGAUCAGAUACAAAUCGUUAAGAUUGAUACUGAGAAGUAUCCUAGCAUUGCCAACAAAUACAACAUUGAGGCAUUGCCAACUUUCAUCAUCUUUAAGGAUGGAAAACCCUUUGAUCGCUUUGUAAGUUUGAUUAUAUUUUCUUUCUGCUUCUUCUACAACGACUUAAAAUUAUAUGACAUCGCAUUCAAUUUAAAUCAUUAAAUCGAAUUUGAUGUUUUCUAUAUAAACUGUAUUUGCAUUAGCAGUGUUACAAACUUGCAAUGCUCUCCGAUAUUCUUUUAACUUACUGAACUUUUUAGUCUUCACUUUUCUUGAAAUGUCAAGUAUCAUUUAUAGAUAGUUAGUUUCAAUGGAAAGCUCGAUAAUACAUGAAAAAUUGCGAUGUCAAGGUCACAAACCAUAAUGAUACUGCAUUUGAUUGCUAACCCGUCAUAGAAAAUAUGUAGAAAUUUUUUCGGCCUCUUGUUGGGAACUGUUUCAACUUAGUUCUUGUUGACAACAUUUUGUAGAAGACUUGUAUGUAGAGGAAUCAUCUAGUUCCUAAUUUUGGUUAAGACAUGAUAUUGGAACGUUCACCUUUACAGACACUACUAAGGCUUGUUGACUUCAACAUAAUGAAAAUGAGGUUGCUUUGAUUAGAAUGUAAAGAACCUAAAAGAUGUUUUUAAGUAGAGAUACUUUUGUCUGUGGUCUAUAACAUAUGGUUGUAUCAUUUAGUUAUAAAUGCUUUCUUUCAUCGUCAUAUUUGAAAAAAGUGAAGGAAUAUAGCUUGACAUAGUCUGGUGUUUGGCUGUUUACUACCUUUCUUAUUCUUGUAAAUUGUCAUUCAUCUUAAAUCUCGUCAGUCAUUUGGCAUAUAAAUAUAUUUUCAAAAUUAAUACGCAUAUAAUUAAUUGGUAGGCAGAUUCUUGUGUGCUUGAUAUGUUAUUUAUUUAUGUAUAAAAAAUCUGUGUGUGUACUGUUUAGUGUUUACCAAACAUUGUGAGCGUACAUUGAUGUUUUGUGUAUUUGACAAGACAAACGAAAACUAGGAUGUUGGCUACUAUUUUAGCAACCAUCUUCCCCAAGUAAGAUAAAAUUUUGUUCUUCAUGAUUUUCAGGAGGGAGCGUUAACAGCAGAUAAGCUAAUUGAACGCAUAGAAACCACUCUCAACGUAAAGCAAUAACUCUGGUAAGUUAUUGUAAUGCCAUCGAUUAAGUACCAUUUUAUUUAAAUGAUACUUGCUUCAGGACAUCUUUACGAGACUUGUCCAUCUCUCCAAAAAUCCCUGCCCUCUAAAUACAUUGCUACUUUUUUCAGUUAAAUGAAGACACAAAAGUUUGUCUAUCGGAUGUUGGGAUCACAUACAUGGUUGGAUAGGAGGAUCAAAUUGUUGCUUCAACUUCAUUCAGACUUUUUUCUGUAGUUAUCCCAUUAUUUUUGGCAAGAUCCAGCCAAUAAAAAAUUUGAUUGUUUAAAAAGCAGUAGCAAUUUUAAAAAAUUGACAAGUAAACUCUGUCAUGUUUGCGAGAUCUUCAGUAUUGAGUUCACCAAUAUCAAAAUUCUUGUACAUGAUAUAUAACUUAGUUUUGAUUUGGGGGUUUUAAAAACAAAUUGCAACUGUACGAAAGUUGGAUUUGGUUUCUUGUUUGCAAACCAUAAAUUGAACCCGAUCACAGGUGCAUAUGUCUGGCAACAAUGUGCAAGUCACAUUAGGACCCAUAUACAGAUGCUGACUAUAAUCAUAGUCAUCACAUAAGUAGCACUUGUUACAGAUUCCAAACAAACAAACAAAAAAAGUAGCACCUGUUACUAGUCAAUAAUAAUUGACUGCUUUCGUGGUUAGAGGCACGUGGAAGUGCUAGUCCAAUGUCGAAUACAUGUGCCUUCCAAUGUCAAACAAUCAAGUGUAAAAUUAGAAACGCACUUACAACCACUGUAUCACAUAUCAUGAUAUUUACAUUUUGAGUUCCGGGAAGCGACUAGUUAAAACAAUGUCAACAUCCUCACGAGCAUACUUCAAUUGAUAAAGACAAUGUAUUAUAAUAUGCAAAGAUUAGACUUCAAACCACAAACAUGUGUAAAAUAACUUUCGGCAUACGGUUAAGCAUCACAAAGACCAUGGUGGUGAUAAUAUUAUACACUUGAGCAAAUUAUAAUAACUUUUAUGAAGGAUUUCAAUUGUUAUUCAUUUUAGGUUUAAUAGCAGUUUUAGCUCCCUAACUUUCUCAAAUUUUGACCCCCAAGAAAAAAACUACAAAACUGUCCCCUAAGUUUUGCACUUGUGACAGUUUUGCCCCCAAGGUCAAUUUUGACUCGAUCUACGCUUACGUCGCACCCUAAGUGAGGUGCCACGUGUUAUUAUUUUUUUUUCUUUGAGGGGCUAAAACUGCUACAGUUGCAAAACUUAAGGGCGGUUUUGCAAAACUUGUACAAUUCAAGUUGUAUUUGCCUUCCAACAAAAAUGGAGAAAUGAAAAUAAGUAAAAUUGAAAAGUAUAACAACUUAGCAAUAAGUUCAACAUUUUGUAAAGUUUUUGCUAUUAAAAGCAUUUAAUAUUCUCUGUAAAAAGCAACCAACCUAUUAGUGCCUUUAUGUCACACUUUACUCAGACUGUUACAUUUUUUACGAGUGAGAAUUUUACAGCUACAUUUUUUUUUUUUGUUGACGAAAACUACUAAUUUGUUUAAUACACUAUAAUUUGUAUUUAAGCAAACACUUCUACUUAUUAGUAGUUUUUUUCUUUAUAAGCAAACACUCCUAUAAGUGUAUUCCUCUUAAAAAAAAGUGUAUUUAAAGAAAGACUCACCUAGCUAUUCCCCAUAUUGGACUUACUCCACUUAACAAAGCUAUUACAAUUAGAAUUAAACUAAACACAAACAAAACUAAAAAGACUCUAAGGUCUUAACUUUAAUUUUUCCUUGUUUUUAUGGUAAAUAGCUCAAUUUAGGUCCUUUUCAGCAACUUUUUUUAGCUCAAUAUUAGUGAAACUCAUACAUAUCAUGUGUUGAGAUAUAUAUGGGAAACAACACAUUUAAACUCACGUCUCAAUGUAUUAAAUAUUCUUGCAACUUUUACAAUUUGAGUUGUCCUUAUGAAAUUCACCAUUCAUUUUUAACUGGUCUAUUAACAAAUUACAGUAUAAUUAAAGUUUUCUCAAAUAAACAUAAGGACCUAAAAUCUAAUCAAGCCUUUAAAGAAAUUUGAAAUAAAUUAUAAGUUUAUAACUGGUAUCUUAAUUUUGUUUUGAAGAACAUACUAAAUUUAUUUGAAUAAGGUUAAGUGAUAAUAAAUAUAAUUUCUUAAUGUGUACAAAAACUGUGGGGUAUUAGAGGAGCCAUAAGACAACUGAGGGGCCUAAGGUCGUUAUGAGCUCCAUGACUAUGCAUAAUAAUGACAUAUACCGCAAACAGUGUAUCAAUCAUCAUUAAUCACACAUAGAGCAUUGGCCUGAAGGUAAUCUUAUAGGAGAUCUCAUCUAGUAGGAUCAUAUCCACCAAGAUGGGAUUGAAUCAUGGAUCCCAUUUCAAUGAUUUUAGGACAGAAGAUCACUGUGACUUUGUGUAUAUCUCUCUUAUAGUAGAGUACUCUCUCAUUUUAGUUAUUAUUUAAUUUUCAUCUCCAUCUUUCUUUUUCAUAAAACAUAAAAAAUUACAUUAAAAUUAUAGUGAUUUUUCCAUCCUAAAAUCAUCCAAGUGGAAUCCAUCAACCAUGAGGUGUAUAUGGUUGCUUUUGCGUCCACAUUAAUUUUCUCUCUUUUAACGUUAUGUGAAAACAUACUCUUUAUAACUUUAGUUUUAUUUUUUUUUGUCCCAUGAGGAAAGUAGAUUUGAUAAUUUAGAUUUUAGAUCAGAAGGUACAUAAAGCAUACAAAUAUCAUAUAAAUUUUGAUUAACUCAAACAAUUCAACCUUAACCGGAAUUUACUAACACAUGAGUAAGAUUAUUUGCUUAUUUUUUACUUUUUUUUUUUUGUUAAAUUUUUUUUAAGGCGAGGGGAUGGUACCCCAGUUCAAGGCAGGGAAGACCUUCGAAUUUAAAGAACACUUACAAAAGUAAUUACAUUUACCUCCCUCCAAAGGCAUUAGCGGAGCUCGAACCCAAAUUCUCUUAAAUUCAAGACCUGCUUAUUUUUUACUUUGGUUGAAUGCAAUAGUUAUAUAUAUUUUUUAUUUGUGUGACGAAAUUGAAUGCAAUAGUUGUUUCACUCAUAAGAGAGGGAAAAAAAAGUGAGAGUUAACUCUCAAAUCCUUAAUAAUUUGUAGAAGUGCCAACACAUUACUCAGGUCACAUUAGUGUUGAAUGUAAAACAAACACUUCAAUGUCUAUAGGUAUAGGCAAAGAAUUGUAUCCAAUAGAAUUCAAUGUAGUUUCAAUAUUAACGCAAUACGCAAGUAACGCGUUGCAGGAGCAUUGUCUUACGCUGAACUUACACCAUCAAUCCACAUUAACGGAACAAACUAACAGUUUACUGAUAGUGCUACCAGUUUACUGUGAUUGGUCAAUUCAUAUACGUGGCGUCACGACGUGGUUCCAUUACAGCCAUAUCUACAUCUUGCCAACCCAAACACCCUAUCUAUCUAUUAAUUCAACUCUCACAAUCAACAUAAAUAUCCAUAACUCACAGUUUCAAAUACUCUAAAAUAAACACACAAAUUAUUAUUUUUUUAAGAAAUUAAAAUGAGAUUAUAUUAAACACAAGAUAGAUUCAUCUUGCACAAGGUGUAUAAAGAGAACUUCUCGAUAAAGUUACAAAGUUAAGUGUCUAAUGUCAAUGGAAAGCACAACAAAAGAAACAUAUGUGAGGAAAGCUAAUCUCUAGCACCCAUACAUAGAAGAGGGUCCCGCCACCGGUCAGUGUAACUGAAAGCGGAAGUAAGCUUGUUAGCUUUCAACCAUAAAAAAGAUGUUAACUUAACACUAUCCAACAAAAGACCAACUUCCUUGGUUUUGUGAUUAAAAAUCCUGCUAUUUGUUUCCUUCCAAAUGAGCCAAACACAAGCAUGCCAAAUAACCUGAAGAAAUGUGUGAGUAGAACGCGGUGCUCCCGCUAAAUUACCAAACCGAUGGAGGUUGUCACGAACCAUAUCUAGAGGUAUGAACAAAAUGUCGAGCCACUGGUAGACAUGAAGCCACAAGCGGCCAAAAGUAUCACAACGAAAGAAGAGAUGAUGUGAUGUCUCAGGACAGCCACACCCUCCCACGCAAAAAAUGUCAUCAUGGUGAAGAGCUCUCCUGCGAAGGAGGUUAUCUUUAGUCGGGAGCCUGUUGCAGAGAAGACGCCAAACGAACACAGAAACCUUUAACGAAACUUGUUUUAGCCAAGCUGCAUCAUAAAGACCGGUCUCCACAUGUGUAGUAGGAAGCGUAAGGUACUUAUAUGUCCCUUUGACAGAGUACCCGCCAAUAGGAUCAAACACCCACCACCAUCUGUCAAGAGUAGAUACCUGCAAAACAAUAUCACACAACAAGGACAAACACUCCGACACUGACUCCUCUUCCCAGGCUAAAAGACGCCUUCUCCACACCCUGGCACCACUGCCAACAUCCCACCCUCUCUCAACUAUCUCCUUCACUGUUGCACCUUUGUUUUCAGACAACUCAAAAAAGCGGGGAAAUUGCACUCGCAAAUCAUAUAUUUAUACUCCCUGUUUUAUUUAUAUGAGAACAAAAUAAGUCAACAAAUGUUGAUGUAUAUAGUUUAAAACUCGACUCAGAUACAUUAAUUUUUGUCGAUCAAACUUUCUUUUAUAAAUAGAACCGGAUGAAAUACUAUAUAAAGAAAAUAUAUGGUUUUGAGCUGAUUUUUUCACUUCUCAUUAUAACUUUAAACAAAUUUGAUGAUAAUAAUAUUUUUUUUAGUUUCAUUCAAAAAGAUAAAAAUUUAUAUUAUAUUUUUUUUAUAUUGUUUGUAUCAUUGAAAAAAUAAGUAUAAUUUGUUAUGUUAUAAAAAUACAAAAUAUCUAUAAUCUAAUUUUAAUCAAAAUCAAAGUAAUUUUAAUCAUCUCCCGUUAACUUAGCUCAGUUGGUGGGGAUAUUACAUGUUAUAUGCAAGGGCAGGGGUUCGAACUCCGGACACCCCACUUCUCUACAUUAUAAUGUGUAAGUUCUAGCCACUACGCUACUUAACAAAAAAAAAAAUUAAUCAAAAUUUCAUAAAAAUUAGUAUUGUUUAUUAUUUAUACGCAUCAACUCAAUAAAAAAAGUGGACAAUCGGGUAAGGAGUACUUGUCUAAACGCUAGUCUGAAUAAUUAUUUUGAAGAAAAAAAAUUAUUUCGUAUUUUCAUUAUGUUCUUACUCUUUUUCACUUUCUCGUUUUUCCGAUGUGUUUAUCACAAAAAAAAAAAAAAGAGAAUACAAUAUUCUCUUAAUUUUUUUUUACAAAUAUCAUUUCAAAAUUGAACAAUUCACUUCAAAAUAUAAAUAAAUAUUAUCAUUUACCGACAAACUAAAGAAGAAGAAGCAUAUACUUUGUUUUCAAUCCUUUUAACUUUUACUUUACAUUUUAUUGACUUUAAAAAAAUUAAAUUUCAACCCACACAUAAGCUUCUUUCUGUUAAGUAUAUCCCUCCAUUUUCAACUCUAACCUUCAUAGUCAGUUAGUUACUUUCUCUAUAUUUUUUUUUUGGUCAGUACUUCCUCUAUAUUUUAUUAUAAGACGUUUUGAUAUUUUUACAUAUAUUAAAAAAUAUAAUUAAUAUUAUAUUAGAAAGAUAAAUUAUAUGUGAUUUUAGAUAAUUAUCCCUUGUAACAAAAAAAAAAAGAUAAUUAACCCUAAUUAAUGAUAUAGAAAAAAAAAUUAAAAAAAUAGAAAGAUGUAAGAGUAAUAAUUAAAUGGUAAAAUAUAUAUAUGAUAGGAAACAUUUUUUCCAAAGUGAGUUUAAAAUACGGAGAAGUACGAAUUUUAUUAUUAAAAUCAACUUAACUAAUCAUCUACUUGUGAAUUACGCACAACUCUAAAACAACUAUUAAAAUAAAAUUAAGAAAAUAAUUAUUUUUCAAAAAAUUAUAUUUAUACAAUUACAUUGUAACAAAUCUUGCAUACUUACAUUACGUUCUUAUUGUCUCUCUUUUGUUUUGAAUCAAUAAAAAUAGAGAAAAAAUAAAUUAUCAUCAAAUUAUCCAAAUAAUUUCUCAAAUAUCACUUCUGUUGUUGUUCACUUGAAUGGAAUAUUCUUCGGUGCCGACACUUACAAACGGAUCAAUUAGCAACUGCCAUUUAAAUGGGACCCAACUACCAAUCACCGUCCAUAUUAUCCGCUUCCUUUUUUAUUUCAAAUUUGUUUUCAUAACUCUUUCAAAAAGAAAUCUCCAUUGACAUUACUAUUACUACUGGUACAUGUGAUUAUGCACGAGAAUUUCAUUCAGAUGUUACAUCCUUAAUUUUGAUUCCUCAACUCUAGAAUAUCAGACAUGCUUGAGCUAACAUACACACACAAUAAAUUAAGAAUCAAAAUAAAAUAUUAAUUUUAUAGAAUUUUGUCAAUUUUUUUUUUUUUUAUAGAAUCAAAAUGUUAAAAAAAUAAAUUACGUUAAAGGUAAUUUCAAUAACAAAAGACAUACAAUAAAUCAAAGGUUGAAGCUUUAGAAGUCUCUUUUCAAUUCACAUGCAAUCUAACUUAUAAAGACUAAAGAACGUAUAUAAUUGAAGAGUUUUGUUAAUCAGUGUCCCGGACACUUUUUAAGUAUUUUAAAUUAGGAAAUUAUUCUUUAAAAAAGUCAAAUAUUUCAAUUUUCAAUACAUUAAAUACACAUAUUUUUAUAAAAAGUUACUAUUUAAGACCAUUAACAAGUGUCCGGGACACUUGUUAACAUUUUCUAUAACUAAAUAAUGUGUAAUUUAGCUAGUCUCACGUCUAAUAUGUGAGCAUUUUAAUGCAUGAAAGCAACCCUUAAUAACAUAACUAACAUAGAUAGAAGAUUGUUAAUGCUCGUUUUACAUUGGAACGUUUGAACAAUAUGUCUGUUAUAAGAUCCAAAAAAGAAAUAUCUUGUAAAUUUGAAGCAAUUCCCCAUAGCCAAAACUUAUGGAACCUAUGCAUAUGGUAAUAAUGAAAUUAGAGUACCUUUAUUUGAAGGAUGAUAAUGAAGAUAUACAAUAGAAAGUAAUAACAUAUACUAUAUUGCAAUAGAUUUUGUAGUUUUUUUUUUUUUUUUUUGUAAAAACAUUAAUAUAAGUAAAAUAAUGCAGUGGAUACUCGACAUGUAACCAACCAACGGAAGAAUUUGUGGGUCUAUUCUAAUAGACUUUAUAUGCAUCUAUCAUUCACCUCUAAAGCUUCGGUCUUUAGGGACAAAAAACUUACCAUUUUUUCUUUUGAAAGGCUGUCCAUUCUUAUUAGUCGUCAAUAGUAGUUAAUGCAAAACUAAAAUGAUAUAGGAAAAAUAAUCAUUUAACCGAGUAAGGUCUAUAUGUAUAUAAUUUUUUUUUUUACAAUCAAGAUAUUUGACCCUUAACAAAGUAUUUUCAAAGAUCUACUUCUUUUGAACUUGUUAUGAGGUUAAUUUUCGAAUUGACAAUCAUGCAUGUGAUUUUGUUUUCUACGAUUAACUACCUUUUGAAUAGAUAACUCCUUCAAUCAAACCCAAGUUCUUUUUUCUAAAAGAAAGAGUCAUGUUGUCAACUCUCCAACACUAUGUUGGUCAUAUGUACCUUUUUUUGUUGCUGAAAACUAAAAUCAUUCUUCGUAUAAAUUAUACAUGCAUGUACAUAUUUAUUUUUAUUUUGAAUAAAAAGAAGUUAUUUAUUCAAAUCAGUAGAUUGUAUGAAAUCUCACACAAAUUAAUUAUUCGUUAUAAUUGAAAUGAUGAUUUUGAAAACAAACUCUCAACAAUUAGAUUAAUAGCAUAAAACAGUAAAAUACCUAUAAAAAUGAGAAAAUUAAAAUAACCAAAAUACCCAUACUUUCAAACGUGUAACUUUAAGUGAGAGUAGGGUGUACCCAAAAAUAAAUAAAGAAAAAAAGAAUAGGGUGGGUCAAGAAGGCCAUAAGUAGUGGAGGUGAAAUAGAUAAUGUCAUUAGUGUGUGGUACACACUUGUUUUGUUGACAAAAAUGUGGCACACGCUUUUGCAAAAAUAUUAAAUUAUCAAAUGAAAAUUAAAGAUAAAAUAAGUAUUUUGUUUUAAUAAAAGGGUGACAUCUAGGUCAAAUUACAAAUGAACAUUAUAACUAAAAUAUUAACAACAAUUUAAAGAUCAACGCAAUUUAUAAAAACUAAAUAAAUAUUAACAACAUCAUGCGAUAAAGAUCAACGCAAUUUAAAGAAGGAUGAAUGGAGUCCCUGUGAGCUCAAGAUUGAGUUCGAAUUUCAGACACCUCACUUUUAUGCAUUUAAAAUAUGUGAGUCCUAGGUUACUUGAUAAAAGAUUAGUGGAGUCCUUGUGAGCUUAAAAUUGAGUUCGAAUCUUAAACACCUCACUUUUCUGCAUUUAAAAUAUGUGAGCUCUAAGUUACUUGACAAAAAAAAAAGACGAGUGGAUGACCAAGAAAUAUAAUAUUUAUACAUAGAUGAAAAACAUAAUCUGCAAGCCAAUUUACCACACGGUUUUCCUGUCAACAUAAGCUAUAAACACCUCCCAAUCUCGCACCUUAAGGCAACCGGUGAGGUUGAUGAUAAAUGCACAAGGAAGGACAUCCCUUUUCAACCAGAGAUACAACCACCACUAAAUCAUACUCAAGAAAAAUUAGUUUUCAAUUUUAACAUCUUUAAUUCUUAACCACAUAAGUAUAAGAACUUUUGUAAAAAAAAAAAGUAUAAGAACUUCAUAAUUUUGAGCUAUAAUUUCCAGUCUCUAAUUUCACUUUUUUAUAUACUUUAAUUUUUUUUUUCUUUCUGUUAUUGCUAUAAGAGAAGGUGGAAUAAGGUUUUCUAAUUUGAAUAUCUGAACAUGCCAGUCUUGAUAAGAGUUUAUAAUGUUAUAUUUCUACUCCUUUAUUUUAGUGUUUGUUUGAUUUAUUUUUUUCGACAAGGUGUUUGUUUGAGUCUAAACCCGCAAUUUUCUUUUUCUAAAAUUUAGUACUAUGGUUUUCAAAAUUAAACAAGUACUAUCCAUGUGUUAAUUUAAAAUACAUAAUUUGAAAAUAAUUGAAAAAGGAAAAAAUAUUAUUAAUUAAAAUGACACUAUAAUAAUAAUGGAGAAUUUUCUAAAAAAAAACUAAUAAUAAUAAUAGAGAAUUAAAAAUUUAAGAAAAAAAAUGACACCAAUAAACAUUUUAGAGUAUUUUCAAGAGAGUUCGAAUUACACCUCUUGAAAUUACAAUGGUUAAACUUCUACCACUAAGUUAUGAUCUCAUGAAAUGUUGAAUAAGAAAGUGGUAAUUUUGUUAUAAAAAAAAAAAAAAAAAAAGCUAAUGGAAGUGAUAAUGUCGAGCACAUGGAUCUAGUUGAAAUUGGACGGUUAAUUUUUUUUUUGACACAAGAAAUUGUUAAAAUUAUUAAUCAUUACAAAAAAAAAAAAUAGUUGCACCUUUUCGCCACAAUUUAAUUGUGUAUUUUUUUUAUACCGUUUCAUAAAGAUAAAUAUAUUUUUAGUAUAAAAAAAGAGACAGAGUAUAUACAAACUCUUUCAAAAAAGAGUAUAUACAAACUCGUACUUGUCCUUGUGCUUCUUAGACAUUCUUGGUUAACCAUGGUUGAUGAAAUCGGUAAUAAUUUAGCUAAUAUAUUUCUGUCCAAUUUAUUUUAGCUCAUAUCCAACAAGAAUGCAAGUUCAAAUUAUAUUACCAAUUAAUGCAAUGCAGUUUGAAAUCUAGUUUGUGGAUAUACAAUAUGUAAAAGUAUUUUUGCAAGUAUUCAUUGAGUCUAUAACUUUCUCUACUUUACAUUACAUUCAAGGAAAAAUAACAUGUCCUUUAAUUCACAAGAAAAAUUGUACAAGCUUCAAGCACAAGCAACCUUAAAAAAAUAACGAAAAAGACAAUAUCGAGAAACUCUAUCUAUUUUUCAAAAUAGAUAAAGUUUUUUGUUUUUGUUUCAACCUUUAAUAGAGAGUUUUAUUAGUAUAGGUUUAUAUAUAAAAAGUCUAAUCAUGUCACAAGAUUUUGAAAUGUGUAUUUUUUUUUCUAUGAUUUUUGUUUUGACGAGUUGUUUUAUAUGAUGAAAUGUAUAUCUUUUACAUGUUUAGAUAAAUAAGGAGGAUUCUUACCGCCAAAAAAAGACAUUAUUAUGAGGACCAAAGAGAUUGAACUCAAAUAUUGUGACCCCAAAAACAAGUUUAGUAAAUUUCAUUUUGCAUCUUUAAGUGAAAAAAUAUCUUAAAGCAUAGGAGGGCCAAUAUUUUCCUAUAUUCCACAAGAUCAUUAAUUAUGGCCUACCAAGAAAUAAAGAACUUCACCAGCAAGUAUUACAUGAUCAUCACUUUAUAAAUAGGGAACUAAUCCUUUCCAAACAACAUAUCAAUCCAUUUCCAUAAUCACUUCUCAUUCACCAUUAAUUUGAUCCAUUUAUCUUUUGAAACCACACUAUGUCUGAAGAAGAGAACCGUAGCCGUGGCCUCUUCCACCACAAGAAGCAUGAUGAUGAUGAUAAUAGGCCAAUAGACACUGACAGUGGUUACAACAAAACAUCAUCAUACUCUACAGGUGAUGAUGACUAUAACAAAAAAACAUCAUAUGGUAAUGACAAUUCUGGUGGUGACUAUGAAACUGGUUACAAUAAGAACACCGAUAAUUACUCUAAUAAUGAAACAUCUGGCGGCUAUGGUAGUGGUGGUGCUAAAACAACCACCGGUGGCGGCUACGGUGGUGGUUAUGGUGACUCUGACACCAAAACAACCACCGGUGGCGGAUAUGGUGGUGGUUAUGGUGACUCCGACACUAAAACAACCACUGGUGGCGGCUACGGUGGUGGUUAUGGUGACUCUGACACUAAAACAACCACUGGAGGCGGCUACGGUGGUGGAUAUGGUGACUCUGACACCAAAACCACUACCGGUGGUGGUUAUGGUGAUGAUCGUCGUGAAGACGUUGAUUAUGAGAAGGAGGAGAAACGCCACAGCAAACAUGAGCAUCUUGGUGAGUUAGGUGCUGCAGCUGCCGGUGGUUUUGCUUUGGUAAUUUUUUUUAAUCACUAUUACUCCUAAUUGCUAUUUAAUCUCUCCCAUAUUUUUGUUAUUUGUUUCUUUUCUUUUGUUCUUUUUUAUUUUGUUUUAAUCAAUAAAUUUUCUCUGAUUGUUAAAAAAAUUCUAUUUAAUUUCGCCCUACAAAACAUUUGAAUAAAUUAAUAAUAUUUGAAUAUUUCUAUUUUAAAAAAAUGUGAAAGAGAAAUUAUUAUUAACUAAAGAGAUUUGUACGAAGUCAUUUGUUGUUACAAGAUCAAAAUUCUAGUACCACUAAACCAACAUCUAGUGAAUUAUAUAACUACUCUACUUUUUGAGAGUUCUGUACUUAGGAAAACCAUUUUACAAUUUUAUUUUUAAUUUUCCUUACUUAAUUUUUGACAUUUUUUCUUUAAUAGAGACACAUGCAUGAUUGAAUGACUAAAAUCUUGUUGCAGAAUAUCCAAUUUAACACAGUUGCAUAACCUAAUCUUGUUUAGCAUAACUCAUAUUCAUUGAUAAGUGGACAUACUCUUGAGCUGCUCCACGAUGUUAGAGAGAAUCAUUAGUAAAUUUGAAUCUGGAUAAUACUAUUUAAACAUUGCAUUGUGUUAUGUGGCCCUACGAUUUGCAUAAUCGGAAAAUUACAUCAAACAGUUUGUUGUUGGAGAUUACACAAAAUUAGCCAAACUUUGUAAUUAAUUGUUUUAGUUCUUGCAUGUUUUAUUUACAUGUUUUUGUAGAGUCGGGUAUGAUGCUCUAAGCCUCUAACAAAUAUAGUAAACAAAAAAAAAAAAGCCUCUUAACAAAUAUGGACGGUGAGAUCAUAUCAUAAGACCGGACAAUUUACAUUUAAUUAUUGUGAAUUAAAUCCAAAAUAAAAAAUAAAAAUGUAAAAUUUCGAUCUUGAUUGGACCGUUGAGAUUUGCUUGGAUGUUGGUGGGACAAAUAAUGUUGUAUGUUACACUAUAAAUAGACAUAGAGUGUUCAGUAUUCAUCUUUUGAAACCAAAAUUGAAAAUUUGAAAGUAA